CUCUCUCUCUCUCUCUGUCUCUCUCUCUGUCUCUCGUCAAAUGAUCCUGCGUAAGAGCGCGUUCUUGAAGUUCUGAGUUUUUUCGCUUGAGUUGCAUAACUUGCGCGAAGACGCAUUUAAAGGGAAAAGCGCGUGUUUUCGCGGCAAUUGCGGCGCCCAAUUCGCGUCAUUUUCAUCGCCCCGUACGAGGACGCGCCUGGUUGCAUCUUUGCAUUGACUUUGUAUGUAAUCUGCUCGCGCAAAUCGUUGAACUUGCAUUGAUAAGUAUGCCCCAUAAUGAAUGAAAACACAUUAUUAAACUAUACAAUAGUUAUAUCCAGUGUUAUCCUUAACAUAAUGUAAUUAGAUGAGUGACAUACAUACUUUAAUCCUCAUCCUUUACACGUUUCUAGUCUUCUAUGAAGUUUUCUCGACGUGGGCACCAUUAUUACCUCUCUGUCUCUCUCUCUCUGUCUCUCUCUCUCUGUCUCUCUCGUCAAAUGAUCCUGCGUGAGAGCGCGUUCUUGAAGUUCGGAGUUUUUUCGCUUGAGUUGCAUAUCUUGCGCGAAGACGCAUUUAAAGGGAAAAGCGCGUGUUUUCGCGGCAAUUGCGGCGCCCAAUUCGCGUCAUUUUCAUCGCCCCGUGCGAGGACGCGCCUGGUUGCGUCUUUGCAUUGACUUUGUAUGUAAUCUGCUCGCGCAAAUCGUUGAACUUGCGUUGGUAAGUAUGCCCCAUAAUGAAUGAAAACACAUUAUUCCCUUCGCGUCAGUGCACACGCACCAGCGCAGCGAGUACACUGGCAAGAGCAGAGCGCGACCUUCAGCCUAUGUGCCGGGGCUUAGCCCCGGACGGCCCCGGCCCAAUUUAAACCCUGCAGACGCCCUGUAUUUGUUAGGAUUGGUUAUUCAUAUAAACAACGACGAUAUGAAGACAACGCGUUCAACUUUUAAUCUAUAUCUGCAUGUGAUGUGAAAACGUACACGGAACAAUUAAAAGUUACACGACGACGCGGCAGAAAUGAGAGGAUUAUUCAGCAAGAAUACAACGGGGAGAAUACAAUGUGUCUGUGAUGAAGAUAAACGAAGAUUGACUGACUGUGCAUCAUUGACACGGUCUGUCUCUAAGCAACCAGCGAUGUUGAGCAUGGACGGUCAGGUGGUGUGUGAAGGAGAGCAGCGCAACUUUGUCUCUGGUCUUGGCAACGCUGAUUGCCUCAUUCAUACAGUUUUAACCUCCAGGAUCAGGAAGUGGUGGCAUGCACCCUUGGGUUUGUUCAGAGAUGAUUUCUCUACAUCAACCUGGAACGUGGAUCAAAGAUGAAGAAAGGGAAAAAGAACACUACAGUGAAUCCACAGGUUUCCACUCUUCUUAGAAAACUUACAGACUUUAAAUGCAGUUUUGUUUAGACACUUCCACUAUCCAGUGUAGUUGAAUUAAAAGGAAAUAAAGUUUCCUACAUUGUUAAUGAUGUGCUGUUAAUUGAAAUACAAACGUACAGCUGGCAUUUCAUCCAAUAUGCUUAUGUUAAAGAAUUAAUCCACUUUUAAAAUUAUGCAAAAAAAAAGAAAGUCAGGAGGGAAAAUACAGUAAAGGAUUAGUCCACUUUCUU